CAGAGUUGUAAAACUCCCAAACCUUUGUGAACAUACCUUUGUUGCCUCGGUGGCCUACCCGGUAGCUACCCUGUAGCUACCCUGUAGUCUGCCGACGGACCACGAAACUCUUGUUUAUAGUGUAUCUCUGAGUACUACUUUUAAAUAAGUCA
rnacentral:misc_RNA from 1 species